UACGUAGGGGGCUAGCGUUAUCCGGAAUUACUGGGCGUAAAGGGUGCGUAGGUGGUUUCUUAAGUCAGAGGUGAAAGGCUACGGCUCAACCGUAGUAAGCCUUUGAAACUGGGAAACUUGAGUGCAGGAGGGGAGAGUGGAAUUCCUAGUGUAGCGGUGAAAUGCGUAGAUAUUAGGAGGAACACCAGUUGCGAAGGCGGCUCUCUGGACUGUAACUGACACUGAGGCACGAAAGCGUGGGGAGCAAACAGGAUUAGAUAUCCCGGUAGUCCCUGAGCGGG
rnacentral:rRNA from 1 species